UACGUAGGGUGCGAGCGUUAAUCGGAAUUACUGGGCGUAAAGCGUGCGCAGGCGGUUUGUAAGUUUGUCGUGAAAGCCCCGGCUCAACCUGGGAAUUGCGAUGGAGACUGCAAGGCUAGAAUCUGGCAGAGGGGGGUAGAAUUCCACGUGUAGCAGUGAAAUGCGUAGAGAUGUGGAGGAACACCGAUGGCGAAGGCAGCCCCUGGGUCA
rnacentral:rRNA from 1 species